AGCAACGUCAGCCUACGUCACAGUGACGUCACAGCCCAGGCUUGAAAGCGACAGCUGAGUGAAACCGGCGACUUCCAACUUUGUUUGUGAGUCUCUCCUCGUCGGCCCGGUUCCCGCUCCCGUCUUUGUGUGUCACAUUCGAAGUGGUCUGCCCCGGUUCAGUUCACCGGACCGACACCGUUUUUCACCGGUGAGCCGGUAAAGAAGUUUGGAGCAUCUGCUAAGUUAGCAGUGCUAACAGCGGUUAGCCUAGCUUAUUUUAGCCAGCUUGCUAAGGCUGCUGUCAAUUCGCCCGGGAUGAGAAGGCGAAUAUCCGGCUUCAGCGAACGUUAUCCGCGGGUGUUAAUCAUUUACUGAACCGAUGGCUGCGCAGUGAACCGACGUGAGCAGCGGACACCUCCACCAGCGAAGCCCGGGGGGUCAAGAUAAACUACGUAACGGUGAGGCUAACGGCGGCUAGCUAACGAGCGCAACUCCGAGCAGAGAAGAGAUGGCGAGCCAUACCGAAACCGGCUUCACCUGCCGGCCCGACCGUGACGGCGCAUCGGGCCCGGUGUCCCGCUCCGGUAACACUCGCCGCCUCCGGUGCGAGUCCGACGAGACGGACGGCGGUGCCCCCACCAUGAAGAGCCUGGCGCGGCUGUGCAGCAGGGACGAGGAGGAGAGGGCAGCGGCUCUGGAGGAGCUGAGCCAGGGGGUUCUGGUGUGUCUAGGACUGGACCGGCCCGGGUCGACGCGCUUGGGCAAGGAAACGCUCCUGCAUCUGCUCCGGCUCUCGUCGUCCUGUCCGUUAGCGGAGGUGCGAGUGAGAGCCACGGAGCUGCUGCGGGCUGCUCAGGAGCAAGGCCUUGAAGUUCCUCGCGCCCUGGCCUCCGGUCCCAGCGCCUUCAUUCCGGCCAAACAUAUACUGAAAGAAAGGCCUGACCAGGACAUUCUGAUCGAAUCCUUCCUCUCCCUGGGCCGUGUGGACCACGUCACCAUGGUGAUGGCGCUGCAUCCUGCCUACCUCAGCUGCUUCCUGAGGACCCAGCAUGCCUUGCUGGAGCUGGACGGCCCCUUACCCCGUCACUGGAGGCACUACAUCGCCGUCAUGGCGGCAGCCCGGCACCAUUGCCCCUACGUGGUGCAGCAGCACAGCACCAGCUUCCUGGAGGCCGGCGGAGACGAGAGCUGGCUGAGCGGCCUGCAGCACGCCCCCGCCAAACUGCGCAGCCUGCACCCCCUCAACAAGCUGCUGGCGCACAGACCCUGGCUCAUCACCCAGCUGCACAUCCAGGAUCUGGUGUAUCCCGGCGCCGAGCUUCGCUGGUCGCUGGCCGAGCUCAUUCACGCCGUCAUCCUCAUGGCGCACGCCCACUCGCUCUGCUCCUUCGUGUGGAGCUGCGGAAUCAACCCGGAGCCGGACCACGACUCGGGCCACACCUUCCAUCCGCCUUCGCCGGGACACCCGACUGGCAGCCCGCACAGCCCCGCCCACGAGGACGGCCGACAAGAGCUGGCGGACGGCGCCAUGGAGGUGGAGGUGCUCAUGAAGAGGAUGGUGGAGCUGCAGCAACAGGAAGAGGAGUGCACGCAGGAGGAGAUGGUGACCCGCUUCGAGAGGGAACGAAGCGAGAGCAUCCCGACAGUGGCGGUGCGAGGGGCGCCGCCGGAACCGCUGCUGCAUCUUCUGGAGGACCCCGAGUACAGGUACGAGGACUUUGCCCCCAAAGGAGAGCAAGCCCCGCCCACCAUGAGAGCUCAGGACUAUUCCUGGGAAGACCACGGCUACUCGCUGGUCAACAGGCUGCUGCCCGACAUGGGACAACUCCUGGACGAGAAAUUCCAGGUGGUGAGCAACCUGACCUACCACAGGAUGGCCAUGCACGAGGGCGUGGACACUCACACUCUGAGGAAGGCCCUGUGGAACUACAUCCACUGCCUCUACGGCAUACGAUACGACGACUACGACUACGGCAGCGUGAACGUGUUGCUGGAGCGCUCCUUGAAGAUGUUUGUCAAGACCAUGGCCUGCUACCCCGAGCAAAUCACCGCACGCGUCUACCAUGCCUUCUGGAGACACUUCCGACACUCCGAGAAGCGCGCGCGUCUGUCUUCCUUCCUCAGGGGUGGGCCAAGUGUACUUCCGGUCCAGGAGCGCGCUCACGCCGAAAAGUUGCGCAGCUGACUGAGCAAGUGGCAGCCGGCUUCCCUCACCCCCCCCAGGAGCCGUGACACCUCACACACAAGACGGCCUCCACUGUGGCGAUGGUGAUUGACAGGUGAUCUGACAGAGGAAGACAUCAGCAGACGCCGUCCGUCUCCCGGCUGCUUAUUAUGGGGUGUGCUUGCUGUAAGCAGAAGAAGUCCGCCAAGUUGGAAGCCGCCACGUUAGCCAUCGCCGGCGGCAA